AAGCUAUAGAGUAUCUUCAGUUGAAUAUAAGCAACAGCACUGCACGUCAGUACUAUAGUCUUGCAGUUAAACUACACUACACUGACUAGUCUGCCAGUCCCAAAGUCUCGUGUUUAUUCUAAACUGUUGUGUUUGUCCGCCUCGACUCGACACAGUUUGCCCGUUCUCUCUAUUAUCGUCAUGAAUCGCCUGGUUUGUCUUGUGCUUCUUGUCUUCACCAUCAACAGUGUUCUACGUGUUACAACUGGCAAUCAAUGCUGUAACACAGUUCAUUGCAGAUGGACUACUUGUCCUGGAAUUGAUAGUUCGGGCAGCAAUAACGGUAGCACAUCUAACCAACUAAAGAGACUUGCGGACAAUAUUAAAGUCUCGUGUGAAGAGGCAAGAGCAAGAUUUUGUCAUAAAUGAACGUCACAGUUGCCUUGAGAAUCUUCGAGGAGUAACUUUGGUUAAAAAUACGAAAAGAGAAAAGGCCAUUGAAAA